rnacentral:rRNA from 1 species
AUUGAACGCUGGCGGCAGGCUUAACACAUGCAAGUCGCGCGAGCGGCGGACGGGUGAGUAAUGUCUGGGAAACUGCCUGAUGGAGGGGGAUAACUACUGGAAACGGUAGCUAAUACCGCAUACCAUCAGAUGUACCCAGAUGGGAUUAGCUUGUAGGUGGGGUAAUGGCUCACCUAGGCGACGAUCCCUAGCUGGUCUGAGAGGAUGACCAGCCACAUUGGAACUGAGACACGGUCCAGACUCCUACGGGAGGCAGCAGUGGGGAAUAUUGCACAAUGGGCGCAAGCCUGAUGCAGCCAUGCCGCGUGUGUGAAGAAGGCCUUCGGGUUGUAAAGCACUUUCAGCCAGGAGGCGUUACUCGCAGAAGAAGCACCGGCUAACUCCGUGCCAGCCGCCGCGGUAAUAC